rnacentral:rRNA from 1 species
CUACGGGUGGCACCAGUGAGGAAUAUUGCACAAUGGGGGGAACCCUGAUGCAGCAACGCCGCGUGGAGGAUGACGCAUUUCGGUGUGUAAACUCCUUUUAUAUGUCAAGAAAAUGACGGUAGCAUAUGAAUAAGCUCCGGCUAACUCCGUGCCAGCAGCCGCGGUAACACGGGGGGAGCAAGCGUUGUCCGGAAUUACUAGGCGUAAAGGGUAAGUAGGCGGAAUUGUAAGUCAGAUGUUAAAGGCACCGGCUCAACCGGUGUAUGGCAUUUGAUACUGUAAUUCUAGAGUAAGGUGGGGGAAGACGGAAUUCCUGGUGUAGCGGUGGAAUGCGCAGAUAUCAGGAGGAACACCAGAGGCGCAGGCGGUCUUCUAUACCAUUACUGACGCUCAAUUACGAAGGUGUGGGUAUCAAACAGGAUUAGAUACCCUAGUAGUC